CUCCCUGUAACGCAAUGGAUAGCGCGUUGGGCUUCUAAUCCAAAGUCGUAGGUAAGAAUCCUAUCUGGGAUG